GCCGCGUUAGCUCAGUUGGCAGAGCACCGUACUUGUAAUACGGAUGUCGUCGGUUCGAUUCCGACACGCGGCCCCA
rnacentral:tRNA from 1 species